UGCACACACAUGCAUCCACACGUGUGUGUGCACACACACACACAAACACACACACUGUUCUUGGCCCAUCCCCACUGGUGUCCCCACAGCAGCAGCGUUGGUAGGGCGGUAGCAGUGAGUCCCCCUCCCUGCACUCUCAGGGCCUGGGUGUGUACAGAACAGGCUCCACUCAGGACAGAUUUGAGACCCUUUGUCCAGACCAAGAGGUGGAAGUACACCCUCAAAAUUGAGGUGCUUUAACCUUAGCAGCCAGAGAACCAUAUACGGGACAUGUAAAAAAUGUGCAUUCCUGGGCCCCUUCAAACCCCUGACCCACUGUCCUCUGAGCAGACAACCCCUUAUCCCCCCAGCCCCAGAGACAGCCCUGCCCAUAGUCCAUGGUUACUUUCUUUGAAGUCUGUUCCAUCUAGUUAAGAAAGGACAGUGGUACAGACCCACUUACCAGGCAUCACCAGAGUCCCAGUGUCUGAGUCACAGGAUGUCACCCUCUGGGUCUAAUAUGCACUUGAAUUAACUGGCAUACUGCCUGGCACACAGAGGGAAUCUAGAUGUGGAAUGGAUAUGGGUGAUGUUACACGCCGCAUGUUUGCCUGCCCUCCAAAUUCAUAUGCAGAAAUCCUAACUCUCAAAGUGAUGGCAUUUAAGUCAUUAGUCAUACAAGUGGAGCGCCAUGGGAUUAAGAAGUGACAGGAGAGCUUGCUGUCACUCUCUGCUCUCCACUGUGUGAGGAUACAACAGGAAGACAGCCACUGGUGAGGAAGAGAGGGCCGUCGCCAGAUACCGGACCUGCUGACACCUUAAUCUUGGACUUUCCAGCCUCAAGGACGAUAAUUAUAUUCUGAAUACUUGGAAAACACUCCCUUCACGAAAUUGUUCUUUAAUUGGGUCUCUACAGGCCUGCCCUCAGUUGUUCCAGGGUAAAGAACUGGGGCAGUGCCCACACCCACACUGUUGGACAUUUCUUCACCAUACCGGUGAGGGUGUCUGUGUCCACGCCCAACGUCCUGCCUGUUACUCUCCACAAUGUGCCAUGAAUGUCCCUGACUUGUAGCCCGGUGCACCUUCUUUCACUUCUACUGCUACUACUAACAGCCUUGGAGAUCAUGGUUGUAUGACAGUGACAGCAACAUGGUCAAGCCUCUGGGUCUCCCGGAGAAGAAGGUAAAUUCCACCAGGACAUGGGAAGAAUUGACCCAAACGCUGGGAGAAGUGGGCCGAGACAUCACGAUGCUCCUUCUUGAUAUCAAACCCCAGAUAAAGACCAGUGGUGCUUCCACUCUGCAGGUCGAGAUGUUUUGUCAAUGUUAAGCAGAACGAUGCCCUGGUGGCAAAAAGGUGAGUGGCAGGCUGGUCUCUGGCCCUUGAGGAUGUCUUAGUCUGGUAAGGACUUGAGAGAGGUAAGCCAUGGGUCUCACCCAAGCCCCCUCCCCGAUCCAUCUCUCUCCACAGAAAUGGUGCACUGCCUUAGUCUUGAGCCCCCACACUACACAGCAGGGCUGGCAGCACAAACGUGCAGUGAGAGGAGGGAUGAAGCAAACAUCUCCUCCUGAGGAGGGGCAAGGUCCAAGAUCUGGAACACCUGCCUGGGGUGUUGUCUCCUCACCAACCAGCCCAGGGUUCCCCCAGCCCUUUGAUGGAAAGUUUGUUUGCUGUCUGCGUUUAGCAUGACUUAGCUCAGCAAGGUUCCAUCUCCUUUUCCUGUUCACCCUGAGAAGACUCGCUGGUGGCACUUGUGGCUGCAGCAUUUACUCCCAGAUAACACACAAGGUGUGGUAUAAGAAAUCCUUUCACCACCCUCUAAACAUUACAGCGCUGAACUCCUACGACCUAUUCAAGAAGGACAAUCCCAGCACAUGAUUAGCUAUGUAAAUUUCAGACUCACGUUGAUUGAAAGAAUGCUGGAAAAGCAUCACGGCCAGGGUGGUAACCUCUUCAAGGUCGCCUGUGCCCUGAUGGCGUCACACCCCUUGGCCUAUCUAGUAGUUUUUUUUUUUUUUUUUAAUACAUUCCUCAAACAUUUAUCGGGCACCUACUAUAUGUCAGGCACUGUUCUAGGUACCUGGGACACAUCAGGGAUUCUUGCUGUCCCAAGGUCAGAGAUGAGGAAUUCCAUAGGAUGAGUCUUCUGUUCUUAAACCCAGUGUAAAGACAAGCCCGUCAGGAAGGAGGGAGUAAGAUCUGGGCAUCAGAGCCCUCCAGCUGCUGCUCAUGGGGGUGAGGACACCAGGCCCCUGACUGUGCUCUGGCCUCUCUCCCAGCUCCCCGCCCAGGCCCACAGCUAUGGCCAUGGCCCAGGAGCUCAGCCACCUCCUGCCCAGUCUGCGGCAGGUCAUCCAGGAGCCUCAGGCAUCUCUGCAGCCCCAGCCUGCCUUCACCAUGGACAGAGCCAAGGUACUGCCGCUUUUCUGGAAGCUGUGCAUCUACACGGGCUACCGGCCACUGCAUCGGACCUGGCGCUUCUACUUCCGCAUGCGGUUCAGCCGCUGCUGCUGCGGCUGGCCGUCCUUGUGGGGACCAUGGACUUCCGGGGAGACCCACACGCCCUGCCCCUCUUCAUCAUUGUCCUCGUCUCUUUCACCUACCUCUCCUUCAGUGCUUUGGCUCACCUCCUGCAGGCCAAGUUCGAGUUUUUUAAAAAAAUACAUCGAGCGGACUAUUUAAGAUUUUUGCAUUACCUGUAGUAAGGUUGUCACGUUUCAACAAAA